rnacentral:rRNA from 1 species
AUUGAACGCUGGCGGCAUGCCUAACACAUGCAAGUCGAACGGCAGCAUGACGUGUAGCAAUACACGUUGAUGGCGAGUGGCGGACGGGUGAGGAAUGCAUCGGAAUCUGCCCAGUCGUGGGGGAUAACGUAGGGAAACUUACGCUAAUACCGCAUACGACCGAGAGGUGAAAGCGGGGGAUCGAAAGACCUCGCGCGAUUGGAUGAGCCGAUGCCGGAUUAGCUUGUUGGUGGGGUAACGGCCCACCAAGGCGACGAUCCGUAGCUGGUCUGAGAGG